ACUCCUACGGGAGGCAGCAGUGGGGAAUUUUGGACAAUGGGCGCAAGCCUGAUCCAGCCAUGCCGCGUGAGUGAAGAAGGCCUUCGGGUUGUAAAGCUCUUUCAGGUGGAAAGAAAUAGCGCUGUUUAAUAGAUGGCGUUGAUGACGGUACCACCAGAAGAAGCACCGGCUAACUACGUGCCAGCAGCCGCGGUAAUACGUAGGGUGCGAGCGUUAAUCGGAAUUACUGGGCGUAAAGCGUGCGCAGGCGGUUGUGUAAGACAGGUGUGAAAUCCCCGGGCUUAACCUGGGAACUGCGCUUGUGACUGCACAGCUAGAGUACGGCAGAGGGGGGUGGAAUUCCACGUGUAGCAGUGAAAUGCGUAGAGAUGUGGAGGAACACCGAUGGCGAAGGCAGCCCCCUGGGCCUGUACUGACGCUCAUGCACGAAAGCGUGGGGAGCAAACAGGAUUAGAUACCCUGGUAGUC
rnacentral:rRNA from 1 species